GACGAACGCUGGCGGCGUGCUUAACACAUGCAAGUCGAACGGAAAGGCCCUGCUUUUGUGGGGUGCUCGAGUGGCGAACGGGUGAGUAACACGUGAGUAACCUGCCCUUGACUUUGGGAUAACUUCAGGGAACUGGGGCUAAUACCGGAUAGGAGCUCCUGCUGCAUGGUGGGGGUUGGAAAGUUUCGGCGGUUGGGGAUGGACUCGCGGCUUAUCAGCUUGUUGGUGGGGUAGUGGCUUACCAAGGCUUUGACGGGUAGCCGGCCUGAGAGGGUGACCGGCCACAUUGGGACUGAGAUACGGCCCAGACUCCUACGGGAGGCAGCAGUGGGGAAUAUUGCACAAUGGGCGGAAGCCUGAUGCAGCAACGCCGCGUGCGGGAUGACGGCCUUCGGGUUGUAAACCGCUAUCGCCUGUGACGAAGCGUGAGUGACGGUAAUGGGUAAAGAAGCACCGGCUAACUACGUG
rnacentral:rRNA from 1 species